rnacentral:rRNA from 1 species
CUCCUGGAAACGGGUGGUAAUGCCGGAUGUUCCACAUGAGCGCAUGUGAGUGUGGGAAAGGCUUUUUGCGGCAUGGGAUGGGGUCGCGUCCUAUCAGCUUGUUGGUGGGGUAACGGCCUACCAAGGCGUUGACGGGUAGCCGGCCUGAGAGGGCGACCGGCCACAUUGGGACUGAGAUACGGCCCAGACUCCUACGGGAGGCAGCAGUGGGGAAUAUUGCACAAUGGGCGCAAGCCUGAUGCAGCGACGCCGCGUGCGGGAUGGAGGCCUUCGGGUUGUAAACCGCUUUUGUUCAAGGGCAAGGCACGGUUUCGGCCGUGCUGAGUGGAUUGUUCGAAUAAGCACCGGCUAACUACGUGCCAGCAGCCGCGGUAAUACGUAGGGUGCAAGCGUUAUCCGGAUUUAUUGGGCGUAAAGGGCUCGUAGGCGGUUCGUCGCGUCCGGUGUGAAAGUCCAUCGCUUAACGGUGGAUCCGCGCCGGGUACGGGCGGGCUUGAGUGCGGUAGGGGAGACUGGAAUUCCCGGUGUAACGGUGGAAUGUGUAGAUAUCGGGAAGAACACC